CCCAGCCGCAACAUCCUCUUCUCUCCCUAUUUUGGUUUUUUCUUUCUCGCCUCCCUCUUUUACUCUAAUGGAAACCCUUAAACUUGCGGGUUUAAGGAACGAUUUUACUGGCGAUAUUUUUCGGUAAACGGUGCUGGAGCGAAUUUAGCGGGUUUUAUUGAUUAGGUUUGCAACGAUGGUGCUUAUCUUUUGGAAAAUGUGGUGUAUGAUAUAUAGCUACAGAUCUGAUCAGCAGUAAAGACUUCUGCUCAAAGCAUCUUCAAUAAUGGUACAUAGAGGUGAUGUAUGUCUUAUUCUCAUGGUUUUACUUCAUGAUAGUCUAGGAACAAUUGGAUCUUUUGAGGUUCAUACUUGAAACCAAGUAUGUAAAGAGUUUGUUGGGUGCAAGAUGGUAAGGCAACAGAUAGGCUGUUGUAACACCACUUAUUGUGCUCUUUUUUUGUGCAGAACCCAAGUCGUAUGGGAAUUAAAUUUUCCAAAUUUGGAUUUGGCUGUUCUGACUAAUGGUUAUCAGGGAAAAAAUGAUUAGAUCUUUUGUACAGUGGGAAAAGUGAAAUAUUAACAACUUUUUUUCUUUUCUGUUGUGUGAAAUAUGGUUUUUGGCGGGAUAUGGCGACAGAUGAACAUUGCAACCUGGUUUGUACGGUACGACUUAGAAAACGUAGAUAAGGUAACGUGGUUCUACAAUUCAAUCCCAGAACUCCAAUUCAUUUGCAGGAGGAGCCUUUCUAUUGACAAUCAACAUAGAGAAGAACACUGAGAAAUUUCAUUAAUCCUUUUGCAGUGUGAUAAGAAAUUUCAUUUCUUUCAUUGGUAACUAAAGUAGUGAAUAACCUUGGUAUGAUGAUUUUUCAUUCUACGCUUAUUCUAAUUUUGUCAGUCAAGGAAAGAUGUACACAUAAAUUUUGUCAGUCAAGGAAAGAUGUACACAUAAAUGACAAAUGAGUUGUUGAAUACUAAAGCUAGGCUUGGGAA